rnacentral:rRNA from 1 species
AAGCGUCGGCUAACUACGUGCCAGCAGCCGCGGUAAGACGUAGGACGCAAGCGUUAUCCGGAUUUACUGGGCGUAAAGCGUCUGUAGGCGGAUCGAUAAGUUGGGCGUGAAAGCUCCGUGCUUAACGCGGAGAGGUCGUUCAAGACUGUCGAACUAGAGGGCAUCAGAGGAGCAUGGAACUUCCGGUGUAGCGGUACACUGCGCAGAUAUCGGAAGGAACACCAAUGGGCGAAAAGCGGUGCUCUGGGGUGUACCUGACGCUGAGAGACGACAGCUAGGGGAGCGAACAGGAUUAGAGACCCUGGUAGUUCUAGCCCUUAACGAUGGAUGCUAAGAUGUGGGGUCGAGGAGGCUCUGUUUCGCAAUUAACGCGCUUAAGCAUCCCGCCUGGGGAUUACGGCCGCAAGGCUUAAACUCAAACGAAUUGACGGGGCCCCGCAACAAGCAGCGGAGCGUGUGGUUUAAUUCGAUGCUACACGGAGGACCUUACCUGGGUUUGA